AGAUAGCUUCUUUGAGGUUGGGCUCAAACUCAAGGCAAUCCUCCUGCCUCGCCCUCCUGAAGUACGGACUACAAAGAUGAGUCAAAUCCCACUUAAAUUUUUAAAGGUCCCGUUAGACACAAUUGGCUGGCCUGGGACUUGGGUGUGUAGAGUAGGCUGGAUUUGAACUUGGCACAGUCCUCCUCUCUGCUUCCCAUCAACACCCAGCCUUGUGGGGUUUUGUUAUUGUUGUUUGUGGCAUGUGUGUGUGUUAUGUGUGCACAAAUGUGUAUUUGUAUGGUCUGGGCACGUGGGUAGAGCCUGAGGUUGACAAUGGGCAUCUCCUGUAUGGCUCCACCUUAUCUAGAACUGGGGCAGGAUCUCUCAGUCGGGCCUAAAGCUCAUCAAUUCAUCUAGCUUAGCUGCCCAGCUUCUUCCCGGAUCCUGUCCCUCAAGAGCUGGGAGUACAGGCAGACUGCCACACCCACCCAACAUUCACACUCGAGUAACACAUACUUUAUCCUUUGAGUCAGCUCCCCAACCCCUGUAUUCAUUCAUUCAUUCAUCAUUCAUUCAUUCAUUCAUUCAUUCAUUCAUUCAUUCAUUCAUUCAAAAUUAUGGUCCAGGCCAGCCCAGAAGCUGAAUUUAAUAACUAAGAAUGAACCUGAGAGCUGGGGAGAGGACUCAGUGGUUACGCACACUUACUGCUCUUACAGAGGUCAGGAGUUUAUUUACAGCCACCUGUGACUCCAGGGGACCCAGGGUACACACACAGACACACACACACAGACACACACACACAGACACACAGGUAAAAAGUCAAGUCUUACACCAAGGAGUACCGCAUAAGGAAUGCCUACAUGGUGGGAACAGCUGUGCAGACAGGCAGGUGUGGAGACGUCUGAGGCCCACGCAUACGGGAGACCUCCUAUAAAAACAUCCCUCUUCCUCUUUUUCUCUCUCUGGUUUCUUUGAGACAGAGUCUCAUGUAGUUCAGGGUGAUCUCAACUCACUACAUAGCGAGGCUGGGUGUGAACACCUGAUCCUUCAACCCCAGUCUGGGAUUACAGGCAUGCAAUGCCACACUGAGGGCUACUCAUAAGACACUUCCUAAAACACACACUCACAGGACAGACAGGCAGGGUACAUGACGGGAGGGACAUUCUAUCACUGGCCGGCAAGAAACAGAAACAGGAGAUUCCGAAUCCAUCAAAUGCCUCCUAGAGACUAUGUUCUAGAACACAGAGGCACACGAGACCGUCCUCAGGCUGCGAGAGGUGAAGUGAGGGGUCAGUCAUGAAAGUCUCUUAGGCUAGAUUUCUCAGGGGUUGGACCUGAGGCCCUGCCAUUCCAAUCACCUAAAACUACUUCCUGGGUUUGAGAUUUAACUUGAAAGAACGUCCCAGUUAGUCACAAACAGAACCUCAAUGGUAGAAGCCAGUUCAGCAAUCCCAGAGAAAGCUGACUCAGGGACGCUAACAGAGGUUAUGGAAAUACCUGCGGGGAGAAUGUUUAGAGGCCGCUCACGUUGGGCCCCCAGGACACGGCAACCACUGCUGGGGUGCUUCUGACACGGACAUUACGGAUAGGCGGUUGGGCCAUCUACCAGUCGCCGCUACGGUGCGGAAUCGGCUUGUCAGCCUGUUUCUACUUCUUGAGCUUGUAUCUCCAUCGCAAAGACUAGCAACUGACACAACUGCCAGCCACGUACAGCAUGGUCUCCAGAGACAACACGUUCCAGAUCACACUCUUCCUGUGGCUGCAGAGACACCACAGAUGCCAACUUCUCCCCGCCCACCCUCUCCAGAAGGGUGCACCCACAGUCCUCCUGGGCUUCCUCCCACAUCUCCUGUGCUGGAGCAGCGACGGGCACAGCUAUGGGACUGCUGAUGGCAGGAGUCCCGGGCCAGGCAUGUGGCAGAGGCAUGAGCUAAGGGACAGACAGCUGCGACUGUUCUCCCUGGGCCCUGCAUGCCUCUAUACUGCAUAUUCAACUGCACACUGUCCUCUGCUGUGGCAGCUUCCAAGUCAGCGGGGCUGAAGCCUGCCUCCCACACAUCCCCGCGUGGCCCGGUCUGCUCCUGUGCCAUCUGAUGGAUAGGUUGGUUUUAGUCACACAUGGGUCUAAGAAGUCAGUCAGUCUUCCACUGGGGACACAGUGCAGACCCAGGGGACAACAGUGACCGAGUCGUCCAUCGCCCAGCACUCCAAGGUGUGCCGCUGUAAACCAGAGGAGAUGCUGGAAGCUCUCCAGGGAAAGAGCCCCGCUGUCUGUCAUCACACCCCAUGACAUUAGAUGUCGUUGGCAUCUAAUGAGCAGGUGCUAAUCUCUGAUCAGGAUACAGGGCAGGAGCGGAGCUGUGGGUGAGGAGCUAGAGUGGGCCUGAGCCAGCCCUAGGCUCCAUCACAGAAAGGGAUGAGGGAGGGGUUGGGGGAGGAGGGACGGAGAUUGGGAGUCAGAUAAAGGACCUGCAGGUCUUGUAAACCCUGUUCAAUCCCUAGACCCCACAUAGAUAGAUGAGAACUGACUCCAUAAACUUGUUCUCUGAUCACACACCUGUGCUGUGGCACUCGCAUGUGCACAAGCACAUACACCUCUCAUAUACACACAAUAAAAAUAAAAUAAAAGAAUUGAUCUCUAAAAAA